UACGGGGGGGGCAAGCGUUGUUCGGAAUUACUGGGCGUAAAGCGUGCGUAGGCGGUUGGUUAAGACAGGUGUGAAAGCCCCGGGCUCAACCUGGGAAUUGCGCGCGAAACGGGGGGGCUUGAGUUCGGGAGAGGAGCGUGGAAUUCCCAGUGUAGAGGUGAAAUUCGUAGAUAUUGGGAAGAACACCGGUGGCGAAGGCGGCGCUCUGGACCGAGACUGACGCUGAGGCGCGAAAGCGUGGGGAGCAAACAGG
rnacentral:rRNA from 1 species